AUCAGUUUCAGUGGCAAACUUGUCUCUCUCUCUCUCUCUCUCUCUCUCUUCUUCACACACGCACUUGUAGACACACGCGCAAACACACACACAUACAAACACUGAUUAGUUUGUUUUCUUGUCCUGCUGAACAAUAGGUAAAUGCUGAAAUGACACACACACAUUUAAAAAAAAUUCACAAUUCUUCUUCACACUGCACCAUCAAAGUCUUGCAGUGCUUCAUGUUCAAUGCUGUUUGCAGCAGGUAACACACACAGACACAGAGAGAGACACAGGAUUGGGUGAUGUAGGGAUGUUGUGUACAGGACUGUAGGUUGUUUUAGUGAUGUUGUACAGGACUGUAGGUUGUUGUAGGGGUUUUGUACAAGAUUGUAGAUUGUUGUACAGGACUGUAGGGUGUUGUAGGGGUGUUGUACAGAGUUGUAGGGGUGUUGUACAGGACUAUAGGGUGUUGUACAAGACUGUACAGUGUUGUAGGGGUUUUGUACAAGAAUACAGGGUGUUGUAGGGAUGUUGUACAAGAUUGUAGAUUGUUGUACAGGACUGUAGGGUGUUGUAGGGGUGUUGUACAGAGUUGUAGGGGUGUUGUACAGGACUAUAGGGUGUUGUACAAGACUGUACAGUGUUGUAGGGGUUUUGUACAAGAAUACAGGGUGUUGUAGGGAUGUUGUACAAGAUUGUAGAUUGUUGUACAAGACUGUACAGUGUUGUAGGGGUGUUGUACAGGACUGUAGGUUUUUGUAGGGGUGUUGUACAGGACUGUAGGUUAUUGUAGGGGUGUUGUACAGGGCUGUAGGGUGUUGUAGGGGUGUUGUACAGGACUGUAGGGUGUUGUAGGGGUGUUGUACAGGACUGUAGGUUGUUGUAGGGGUGUUGUACAAGACUGUAGGGUGUUGUAGGGGUGUUGUAUAGAAAUGUAUGGUGUUGUAGGGGUGUUGUAUAGAAAUGUAUGGUGUUGUAGGGGUGUUGUAUAGAACUGUAGGGUGUUGUAGGGGUGUUGUACAGGACUGUAGGGUGUUGUAGGGGUGUUGUACAGGACUGUAGGGUGUUGUAGGGGUGUUGUACAAAACUGUAGGGUGUUGUAGGGGUGUUGUACAGGACUGUAGGGUGUUGUAGGGGUGUUGUAUAGAACUAUAGGGUGUUGUAGGGGUGUUGUACAGAACUGUAGGUUGUUGUAGGGGAGUUGUAAAGAACUGUAGGGUGUUGUAGAGGUGUUGUACAGGACUGUAAGGUGUUGUAGGGGUGUUGUACAGGACUGUAGGGUGUUGUAGGGGUGUUGUAUAGAUCUGUAGGGUGUUGUAGGGGUGUUGUACAGAACUGGAGGUUAUUGUAGGGGUGUUUUACAGGAUUAAAAGGUGUUGUAGGGGUGUUGUUCAGGACUGUAGGUUGUUGUAGGGGUGUUGUACAGGAUUAAAAGGUGUUGUAGGGGUGUUGUACAGGACUGUAGGGUGUUGUAGGGGUGUUGUACAAAACUGUAGGUUGUUGUAGGGGUGUUGUACAGGAUUAAAAGGUGUUGUAGGGCUGUUGUACAGGACUGUAGGGUGUUGUAGGGGUGUUGUACAGAACUGUAGGUUGUUGUAGGGGUGUUGUACAGGAUUAAAAGGUGUUGUAGGGGUGUUGUACAAGACUGUAGGUUGUUGUAGGGGUGUUGUACAGGAUUAAAAGGUGUUGUAGGGGUGUUGUACAGGACUGUAGGUUGUUGUAGGGGUGUUGUACAGGAUUAAAAGGUGUUGUAGGGGUGUUGUUCAGGACUGUAGGUUAUUGUAGGGGUGUUGUACAAGGUUGCUCAAGCCCAUUUAUGUCACAGAACAAAGUAACACAGUAAAAAGGUGUCAAAUGAUGUUUAGUACUCAUGUCAUCAUAGACGUUUUUGGUGUCUACUGGCCGAUUGUUGGUGUCUGCUGCGCUCUCUUAGGAUGGGUUGGGCUGGUCGGUAUACAGUUACAUCAAGACCUGAUGUCACGUCUGGUGUGGGUGUGAGAGAUUAGAGACAUGUGGUAAAGAGUCUAAAGAAGAAUAAUGCAGCUUUGUUUGGCAAGUGUGGGUAUGGGUGUUAUUCCUAGGCCUGAACAGUAUUUCGAUAUCGGUAUUUAUCGUGAUAAGAAAUGUUUCAAUAACGGUGAUAUUAUUUUUGUGGCAUAUCAAUAUGUAUUAUUUUCAGACAGGCGUUUUUUUAGCGGCGUCAGUUCACUGCAGCGCUGUACACAAUCAGACUCCGUAGCCAGGCUACGUCAGUGCGUGAUGACGCAAUCAUACAGGCACGUAGCCAGAGGCUAGGCUAGGCUAGGCUAGACCUGGGUCGGGUCGGCUCCGCUCCGCACCUAAAAUCUCCCGCGAUCAAGCGAAACCAACCCUAACCGAGCGGAUCUUGGCUGCACUCCUCUCCUCUCCGGUCCGCACCUAAAACCCACCCGCGAUGAAGCGAAACCGACUCUAACCGAGCGAAUCUCAGCUGCGCUCCGCUCCGCACCUAAAACCCACCCGCGAUCAAGCGAAACCAAGGGCAGAAACCGAGCUUCUGCCCUUUCAGAGCUAACCUUCUGACGCGCCAGGGCCAAGCUUCUGACGCGCCAGGGCCAAGCUUCUGACGCGCUAGGGCCAAGCUUUUUCACAAUUAGGGCUGAGCAUUCUGCCCCUUCAGAGAUAACCUUCUGAUGCGCCAGGGCCGAGUCUCUACCCCUUCAGAGCUAACCUUCUGAUG